AUACGUAGGUGGCAAGCGUUGUCCGGAUUUACUGGGUGUAAAGGGCGUGCAGCCGGGGAAGCAAGUCAGGUGUGAAAUGCAGAGGCUUAACCUCUGAAUUGCAUUUGAAACUGUUUUUCUUGAGUACUGGAGGGGCAAUCGGAAUUCCUAGUGUAGCGGUGAAAUGCGUAGAUAUUAGGAGGAACACCAGUGGCGAAGGCGGCUUUCUGGACAUUUACUGACGCUGAGGCGCGAAAGCGUAGGGAGCAAACAGGAUUAGAUACCCUGGUAGUCCACGCUGUAAACGAUGAUUACUAGGUGUGGGAGGUAUCGACUCCUUCCGUGCCGGAGUUAACACAAUAAGUAAUCCACCUGGGGAGUACGGCCGCAAGGUUGAAACUCAAAUGAAUUGACGGGG
rnacentral:rRNA from 1 species